UAUUCUGCCCCAUGGGGAAGGAUGAGAAGCUUCGACUAAGGUUCGACUCGAGCGAAGCGAGAGAACGUUGCCGCAGGCAACGGCCCGAAGGGCGAGGCGCGUUAGCGCCGAGUAAUCCUUCCCCCACCACCA
rnacentral:sRNA from 1 species